CUCACGGACUCCUGUUGGCUCGCCAUUUUGAUUUGCUCCUCGAGCGACUCGUCCGCCUCCAGAAAGGAAACAAGCGAAGGACGAUGGUUCCUAUCCGCCUGCGGACCCGAGGUGGCGGUGUGUCCACGGGUGAAAACAACUCCGAUCCAAUCCACGAAUUGCCCAAAGGCCACAGAGGAAUCCUUGCCAGGAUGUCUGGAUGCAUAUGACUGCUCAAGACCUCCUUUUCUAUUUGUUAUGUGUACGUUUUAAACAAGGGAUGGUGAAGGCCUAGUAAUGUAUGAGUUUUUACUGCAUUACAUUACGUAAUACAUUACUUUUCUAAGGCUA